GGACCAUGGCUCAGUGGUUGGUAGAGCAUCUGAUUUGCAUGCAGAAGGUCCCCAGUUUGAUCCCUGGCAUCUCCA